CCUACGGGAGGCAGCAGUAGGGAAUCUUCCACAAUGGACGCAAGUCUGAUGGAGCAACGCCGCGUGAGUGAAGAAGGGUUUCGGCUCGUAAAGCUCUGUUGUUAAAGAAGAACGUGGGUGAGAGUAACUGUUCACCCAGUGACGGUAUUUAACCAGAAAGCCACGGCUAACUACGUGCCAGCAGCCGCGGUAAUACGUAGGUGGCAAGCGUUAUCCGGAUUUAUUGGGCGUAAAGCGAGCGCAGGCGGUCUUUUAAGUCUAAUGUGAAAGCCUUCGGCUCAACCGAAGAAGUGCAUUGGAAACUGGGAGACUUGAGUGCAGAAGAGGACAGUGGAACUCCAUGUGUAGCGGUGAAAUGCGUAGAUAUAUGGAAGAACACCAGUGGCGAAGGCGGCUGUCUGGUCUGUAACUGACGCUGAGGCUCGAAAGCAUGGGUAGC
rnacentral:rRNA from 1 species